CAAACAUCCAGAUUAAUGUUUGACCAACUAUCUGGAUGCUGUGGACUGGCCAAGUUGGUACAUAAAAUUAACUGCUCUGGCCUCACAAGAUUAAAACUUGGUAAGAAAGUAGACACGGAAGUGUGUCUCUGUCCAGUUCCACCUAAACUGUGCUGGCAGAAACUUUGGCUCCUGCUGCUUAGCUCCUUCAGCGACCUGCGAGUCUGUCUCACGAAAAGAUACCGACCGCCAUCUUGAAUUUCUAAGCACUAAACACGAAGAGAUAUGCUUCAGACCCUCUGAGCCCCUUUGUCUGCGUGGAACGGGUCUCUAGUCGCGGGUGGACAAAGCGUAGGAUGAGUGACAAACAGACGCACACAGGAGAGGUCGAGGAAUCUGAAUGUCAUUUUUCAAAUCGAGCAUCAGACUUUUUAUGCAGAAGACAAUAAGGAAGUUGGAUGACAUACCUGCAAGGUACAAAUGAGCUUUCCCAGAUAUCUCUGAAGAUACCAUUUUGAAUAGGACUCACAUCACUCACUGCCUUGGUAGGGUCAUCUUUGUUCCACAAGAGGAAAACUGUCCACGAGAGGGUGGAGAUCACUCUGGCCAUGCAUAAUCAGAUUAACAUCAACGGUCCUUUACUCUGAAGAAGCCAUGGAGACCCCUCUUGCUGAUUAAGCCAGCUCAGGCUCCUGUGGAUGCUAUGGCCCUGGGCACUGAGCCCAGCAUCUGAACUUGUUCCUGGACCAGAGGUUCGAGAUGUCCACUUCUGAGGCCAUUUACUUCUUUGUGGGCCACCAGCUGUU
rnacentral:lncRNA from 1 species